UAAGUCCGAGUGUCGUUUCCCAAAGGACUCUUAGGCCUUAACUUUCAUGUAAACCAAUCGCAUAAGACUUGAGAAAAGAAUUAAAUUUAGGUUUUGUAUGCAAAGGACAAAAAUAAACAUGCAAAAUGUAGUGAAUCAAUUGGCUAGAAAAGACUAUGAAUGAAUGGAGUUGUUGGGGUUUACAAUUUCAUCUUAUCCACCCUCUUAUAUCUACUCUUCUUAUCUACUUUGCUUAUUUAUCAUAUUUUCAUGCAAACUUUCUUAGUCUACCCUAAACUCAAUCUCUUGGCGAAAAGAGCCUAUUACUAAUUACUGGAUUGUUAUCUCUAGCCUCCCCUAGUAACUAAUAAUGCAUGAUAAACGGAAGCAAAAUACAAUUGAUCGUCCUACCCCUAUCUUUAGGCGGUAUUAGCAUAAUCAAGGAAUUCCCCCC
rnacentral:lncRNA from 1 species